rnacentral:rRNA from 1 species
AUUGAACGCUGGCGGCAGGCCUAACACAUGCAAGUCGAGCGAGCGGCGGACGGGUGAGUAAUGUAUGGGGACUGCCCGAUAGAGGGGGAUAACUACUGGAAACGGUGGCUAAUACCGCAUACUAUCGGAUAACCCAUAUGGGAUUAGCUAGUAGGUGGGGUAAAGGCUCACCUAGGCGACGAUCUCUAGCUGGUCUGAGAGGAUGAUCAGCAACACUGGGACUAAGCCACGCCCCAGACCCUUACGGAGGCAGAAGUGGGGAAUUUGGGACAAGGGGGGAAAUCCGGAUUCAGCCAUGCCGCGUGUAUGACGAGGGCCUUCGGGUUGUAAAGUACUUUCGGCGGGGAGGCGUUACCCGCAGAAGAAGCACCGGCUAACUCCGUGCCAGCAGCCGCGGUAAUAC